AUAGUGAUCGUCUAAUGGUAGGACACAUUUACUUAGGAGAAUUGUAUAUCGUCUAAUUAUUGGCUUAAACCAAUUAUAGGAUACCUAGAUAAUGAAAUAAGAGUUCGAGUCUCUUUCGCUAUA
rnacentral:tRNA from 1 species